rnacentral:rRNA from 1 species
CUAGAAGAUGACGAGUGGCGGACGGGUGAGUAAUGCUUGGGAACUUGCCUUUGCGAGGGGGAUAACAGUUGGAAACGACUGCUAAUACCGCAUAAUGUCUUCGGACCAAACGGGGCUUCGGCUCCGGCGCAAAGAGAGGCCCAAGUGAGAUUAGCUAGUUGGUAAGGUAACGGCUUACCAAGGCGACGAUCUCUAGCUGUUCUGAGAGGAAGAUCAGCCACACUGGGACUGAGACACGGCCCAGACUCCUACGGGAGGCAGCAGUGGGGAAUAUUGCACAAUGGGGGAAACCCUGAUGCAGCCAUGCCGCGUGUGUGAAGAAGGCCUUCGGGUUGUAAAGCACUUUCAGUUGUGAGGAAAAGUUAGUAGUUAAUACCUGCUAGCCGUGACGUUAACAACAGAAGAAGCACCGGCUAACUCCGUGCCAGCAGCCGCGGUAAUACGGAGGGUGCGAGCGUUAAUCGGAAUUACUGGGCGUAAAGCGCACGCAGGCGGUUUGUUAAGCUAGAUGUGAAAGCCCCGGGCUCAACCUGGGAUGGUCAUUUAGAACUGGCAGACUAGAGUCUUGGAGAGGGGAGUGGAAUUCCAGGUGUAGCGGUGAAAUGCGUAGAUAUCUGGAGGAACAUCAGUGGCGAAGGCGACUCCCUGGCC